UACGUAGGGGGCUAGCGUUGUCCGGAAUCAUUGGGCGUAAAGAGCGUGUAGGCGGUCCGGUAAGUCCGCUGUGAAAGUCGGGGGCUCAACCCUCGAAUGCCGGUGGAUACUGUCGGGCUAGAGUACGGAAGAGGCGAGUGGAAUUCCUGGUGUAGCGGUGAAAUGCGCAGAUAUCAGGAAGAACACCCGUGGCGAAGGCGGCUCUCUGGGACGGUACUGACGCUGAGGCACGAAAGCGUGGGGAUCAAACAGG
rnacentral:rRNA from 1 species